UGGGGAAUAUUGCACAAUGGGCGCAAGCCUGAUGCAGCCAUGCCGCGUGUAUGAAGAAGGCCUUCGGGUUGUAAAGUACUUUCAGCGGGGAGGAAGGGAGUAAAGUUAAUACCUUUGCUCAUUGACGUUACCCGCAGAAGAAGCACCGGCUAACUCCGUGCCAGCAGCCGCGGUAAUACGGAGGGUGCAAGCGUUAAUCGGGAUUACUGGGCGUAAAGCGCACGCAGGCGGUUUGUUAAGUCAGAUGUGAAAUCCCCGGGCUCAACCUGGGAACUGCAUCUGAUACUGGCAAGCUUGAGUCUCGUAGAGGGGGGUAGAAUUCCAGGUGUAGCGGUGAAAUGCGUAGAGAUCUGGAGGAAUACCGGUGGCGAAGGCGGCCCCCUGGACGAAGACUGACGCUCAGGUGCGAAAGCGUGGGGAGCAAACAGG
rnacentral:rRNA from 1 species